rnacentral:rRNA from 1 species
AGUGAACGCUGGCGGUAGGCCUAACACAUGCAAGUCGAACGGCAGCACAGUAAGAGCUUGCUCUUACGGGUGGCGAGUGGCGGACGGGUGAGGAAUACAUCGGAAUCUACUUUUUCGUGGGGGAUGACGUAGGGAAACUUACGCUAAUACCGCAUACGACCUACGGGUGAAAGCAGGGGAUCUUCGGACCUUGCGCGAUUGAAUGAGCCGAUGUCGGAUUAGCUAGUUGGCGGGGUAAAGGCCCACCAAGGCGACGAUCCGUAGCUGGUCUGAGAGGAUGAUCAGCCACACUGGAACUGAGACACGGUCCAGACUCCUACGGGAGGCAGCAGUGGGGAAUAUUGGACAAUGGGCGCAAGCCUGAUCCAGCCAUACCGCGUGGGUGAAGAAGGCCUUCGGGUUGUAAAGCCCUUUUGUUGGGAAAGAAAAGCAGCAGGUUAAUACCCCGCUGUUCUGACGGUUCCCAAAGAAUAAGCACCGGCUAACUUCGUG